rnacentral:rRNA from 1 species
GUAGGUGGCAAGCGUUGUCCGGAAUUAUUGGGCGUAAAGCGCGCGCAGGCGGUUCUUUAAGUCUGAUGUGAAAGCCCACGGCUCAACCGUGGAGGGUCAUUGGAAACUGGAGAACUUGAGUACAGAAGAGGAAAGCGGAAUUCCACGUGUAGCGGUGAAAUGCGUAGAGAUGUGGAGGAACACCAGUGGCGAAGGCGGCUUUCUGGUCUGUAACUGACGCUGAGGCGCGAAAGCGUGGGGAGCAAACAGGAUUAGAUACCCUGGUAGUCCACGCCGUAAACGAUGAGUGCUAAGUAUUAGGGGGUUUCCGCCCCCCUUAGUGCUGCAGCUAACGCAUUAAGCACUCCGCCUGGGAGUACGGCCGCAAGGCUG